AUCAUCGACCCAUUGGAUGGUUCCCGCAGAGCGCUCUGUUUUGCGGGAGUAAAUGGGAAUGUGACAGGGUGGACCCAGAUCGGGCACUCUUAUCGCAGCCGACCCCGCGACUGUAGAGCGGUCAGGGUUCGCCAUCCGGGAAAGCCGAUCCUUCGGGAAUGUCGCAUGGUGCGGCAUGUCGCAGGCGCAGGCCCAACCGGAAAAGCCACUGGAGUGGCAUCAUGAUCAGCCGGGGCCGGACGCCUCUUUGUCUACGAAUCGUCCACCUCUUCGUGAUGCCUGUCGAUUGCGGUUAGCAAUCCGGCCUGAAGACUCCGGGAAGGCGAGGCGAACCCGUUCGCACCCUUGGGUGCGUAGACCCGUGAGCCAGGAGACCUGCCAUCCGACAAGGGCAUAA
rnacentral:ncRNA from 2 species